UUGGCAAAGAGAGAUGAUGAUAACAGAGA
rnacentral:piRNA from 1 species